rnacentral:rRNA from 1 species
ACGAACGCUGGCGGCGUGGAUAAGACAUGCAAGUCGAACGAGAGAAUUGCUAGCUUGCUAAUAAUUCUCUAGUGGCGCACGGGUGAGUAACACGUGAGUAACCUGCCCCCGAGAGCGGGAUAGCCCUGGGAAACUGGGAUUAAUACCGCAUAGUAUCGAAAGAUUAAAGCAGCAAUGCGCUUGGGGAUGGGCUCGCGGCCUAUUAGUUAGUUGGUGAGGUAACGGCUCACCAAGGCGAUGACGGGUAGCCGGUCUGAGAGGAUGUCCGGCCACACUGGAACUGAGACACGGUCCAGACACCUACGGGUGGCAGCAGUCGAGAAUCAUUCACAAUGGGGGAAACCCUGAUGGUGCGACGCCGCGUGGGGGAAUGAAGGUCUUCGGAUUGUAAACCCCUGUCAUGUGGGAGCAAAUUAAAAAGAUAGUACCACAAGAGGAAGAGACGGCUAACUCUGUGCCAGCAGCCGCGGUAAUACAGAGGUCUCAAGCGUUGUUCGGAAUCACUGGGCGUAAAGCGUGCGUAGGCUGUUUCGUAAGUCGUGUGUGAAAGGCGCGGGCUCAACCCGCGGACGGCACAUGAUACUGCGAGACUAGAGUAAUGGAGGGGGAACCGGAAUUCUCGGUGUAGCAGUGAAAUGCGUAGAUAUCGAGAGGAACACUCGUGGCGAAGGCGGGUUCCUGGACAUUAACUGACGCUGAGGCACGAAGGCCAGGGGAGCGAAAGGGAUUAGAUACCCCUGUAGUCCUGGCAGUAAACGGUGCACGCUUGGUGUGCGGGGAAUCGACCCCCUGCGUGCCGGAGCUAACGCGUUAAGCGUGCCGCCUGGGGAGUACGGUCGCAAGAUUAAAACUCAAAGAAAUUGACGGGGACCCACACAAGCGGUGGAGUAUGUGGCUUAAUUCGAUGCAACGCGAAGAACCUUACCUGGGCUUGACAUGUAAUGAACAACAUGUGAAAGCAUGCGACUCUUCGGAGGCGUUACACAGGUGCUGCAUGGCCGUCGUCAGCUCGUGUCGUGAGAUGUUUGGUUAAGUCCAGCAACGAGCGCAACCCCUGUUGCCAGUUACCAGCACGUGAAGGUGGGGACUCUGGCGAGACUGCCCAGAUCAACUGGGAGGAAGGUGGGGACGACGUCAGGUCAGUAUGGCCCUUAUGCCCAGGGCUGCACACGUACUACAAUGCCCAGUACAGAGGGGGCCGAAGCCGCGAGGCGGAGGAAAUCCUAAAAACUGGGCCCAGUUCGGACUGUAGGCUGCAACCCGCCUACACGAAGCCGGAAUCGCUAGUAAUGGCGCAUCAGCUACGGCGCCGUGAAUACGUUCCCGGGUCUUGUACACACCGCCCGUCACAUCAUGGAAGCCGGUCGCACCCGAAGUAUCUGAAGCCAACCGCAAGGAGGCAGGGUCCUAAGGUGAGACUGGUAACUGGGAUG